UGCCGUGGGCAGGGGGAGCUUUGGUGACAGACGGUGCUCUUAUGGAGAAGACUUGGAAUGGCUUUCCUGAGUUAUUUCUACCGGAGAUGCUCAAAGGGAAAAGUAUACCGAAAUGUGUUUCACCACCGUUACUGAAGGUAUGGAGGAAAGAAUAGAUCCCAAGAGAAGAAAAUCAUGGAAAACCUGAAGCCAAGGACUGGUUUUCAAGGCUGAAUUCCACAAAUCAGUUUUAACAGACAUUGUACUGAAGUGUUUGACAUAACCCUCUGGUCCAGUGCUUCAGAAACUGUAAAAAUAGCAUGAAAUACAUUCAGUCGCAAAGCAGCUGGAUUCCAGGAGAAAUGGAGAGCCCUGUAUUCCUGGACAAUUAACCUGUAUGUCUUAAGUCAUGAUCCUGAAACAAAUUGUGUAGACUUCUGAGUUAGAAAAGUUAGGCUCUUCAUCAAUAAUAUAAUGCUGAUAAUUAGUCAUCCAGUUCUAAAUUCUUUGAAUUUCCCAAAACCAACUAUGGAUUAGCCCAGUUUUAAUGGCUGCUGUGAUGUAUACAUAAUCUAACUUGAAAGGUCCAAAAAUCAGUACUUCAUUGUAUCUCCCCUUAGUAUUGUUACUUGGAAAGAGGUAACGGGACAGCUCCCAGUAGGGUAUUAGCAUAAUAGAUGGAAAUAGAAUCUAGUUCAACCCUUCGCAUUUGCGAGAACAACGUGAUGCCUGGUGCUGUGUGCACCCACAGCCCUGGGUAUGCACAGCAUUGUGUGUUUUGUGCAGCCAGCUGUAAGGGUAACAGCCUCUUCUGCAGGGUUUAGCUGUAACAGAGGCAUGCUGGUCAACCAAAAUGACAUAUAGUAGGGUUUUCCCUACAGCAGCUGGGAGAAAACCAGCAUUGUAAGACAACAGAGUUUCUGUUUUCAAUGCCAAAGGUAUUUAGACUUACUAGAUUACAUAGAAGUAUGGCAAUUAUCCUUGAGUCUAACAGGAAAUCAAAAUAAGAGGUAUAGUUCUCUGACACAUACAAGCAGUUUCAUAGAUCUCACUGAAGCUGCUUAAAGAAGGGAACAGACUUCCCUGUUUCCUGUGGAGAAAGCAUCAAUUUCUGAUGUGUUUUUUAAGUUUUUUAUGCCGAUAAAGUUAGAUUUGUAUUGACUUCUAAGUGCCAUGUUCAGUCAGCGAGUGAUACCGGGACACUGAAGUCAAUGGGCUCUGUUGUGCUUUGUCAAGGGCCUGAAUUAUUUGUGUUAGACGUUGGAGCUCCCUCUCCUGUUGUAAACAGCUCUUUAUUCCGUGUUGUUUUUCACACAAUGGCACAGGUGAAAGCAUCUAUUUAGAAGAAAUUUUAAGGGCAAACCAAACAGUUUUAAGAACAAUUUUAAGAACAAAACAAUUCUUUAAAAUGUCUAACAAGGAAAAAAUUGCUUAUCUAACAUAUACGUUAGGUGUAGCAAAUUAGAGAAUAUACUAAUUAACAGGCAACCAAAGAAAUGUUUGUCAGCUGGUAGUACUGAGUGCACUGCUGACUACCUCUCCUGAUACAGGUUUUACUAAACAUUCACAGGUAUGGACCUCAGGGAUUUUGCAGUUUCUCAGGCAGUUUCUCGGAUUAAAGCCACCCAUGAUAUUUUCUAUGUUACUGUCUUUAAUUCUUUCUAGGUACGUUUAGGAUUUGUUAAAGUAAGUGAAGCGCUAUUACUUUAGUGUAGUAAGUCUGAGUCACAAAGAUAAUCCAAGACUAGUUCACAGAUGUACUGCAUAACUAAAUCAGCCUUGCUUCAUUUAUCCUGUAAAGUGUUACAGUCAAAGUAAAUACUUUUUAAAGUGGAAAAAAGCAGUUGUGUAUUUUUUUUAAUUUUUUUUUUCAUAUUGUAUUGGGCAUCUCAGGAGAAGAUUAGAAUCUGACAAGAUAAAGCAGUUGUACUAAAAAUAUUCUUUGGAGGUUUGUCCCUAAUCAAAGUAAAGGCUUUAUUUCAGAACUUUGUAUUCUCAAUAAAAUUAAAAAAUAAUAUUUAGUUCCAUAAAGAUAUAUUUAUAACAUUCAAAUUAUCUUCAAUACAAUUUUGAUGUUGAUACAUAGUUUGAUACUGACUCAGGAGAAAAAGAAAUGAUUCACUCUAAUCUUAAGAAGUGGGUUCCAGUGCCACAUGAAAAUAAGUUUCAGCAAGACUUUGAUGAUGUUUCCCUCUGAAAAUCUAAAUAUUGAACCAGCUAUCCCUGACAGAUCAGUUGGUCUGGGAUAUGAGUAUUUCUAGCAAGUACUCCAUCAACUGCUGCUGAAAGGACUAAUUAAAAGACUUUUUUUCUUACAAGAAACUGUGUAUCUCAACAGCAUGUACAGUCAGCAGGCAGCUUUAGCUUGCCUGAUUUAAUCCUGCAGUUUUGCUGCUUUCCUUGUUUCUGAAUUUAACUAUGCUCAUUCAUCAAGAUAAUGACACAGAGCUAUUUUUCUCAUUCUUUCAGUAAUUUUGAGAAGAUAGUUUCCACAUAAAUAUUACUCUUCCAAGUGCCUCUGCUACAAAUGCUACCUGGGAUGCACAGAUGGAAGGUGAAAGUCGCUUACUGCCCUUACAUUGUUGCCAAAAGUGGAUAAUUCAGCCAUUGCCUUCUGAAACUUUUUUGCUGCUGUGAGAGGCACAAGGUAAGCCAGUUCCUAUCCUACAGUGUUUCAAAAUCAUCAUUGCUACCUGCUAGCCAACGUAUUUCUCACAGAAACUCAACUUCCACAAUCAGAGAGAUAUUACAAUGAGAAGGAUGAAGGUGUGCCAAAGCUAGUUUCAUGAAACACGGAAGCUUAUUUAACAAUUCUUUUCUGAUGAACUGGGGAAGUACUGCUCCCAUUUUCCACUCAUCCACUCACUCUCUCUCAUUGGACCCUUUACAUGAUGUAACACAUUGACUUGGCAAAAGACUAAAUGGGGAAAAAAAAAAUCGAGACUUUUUUUAUUAUUUUUGAAUCACCUCUAGUAAGU